AGAAGGCAGACACUAAUGAUGGACAGAAGCAGUAAAACAUGCUUCUUAAUCUCCCAUUUAGAAGCUGCAUGACCACCGAUAAGUCAUUAACCAACCUGUGCCUUCGUUUUUUUUUUAACUGUUUGAUGGAGAUACCAGUGACUACCUCAGAGGCUGACUAGGUUAGGAUCAGUGACAGAAAUGGAAUGAAGAUGAGGAAGAAUGAUCUAAAUCAAGGAAACCAGAAAACACUGUUUUAAAAGCUACCUUAACAAAGAGCAUUUAACAAAGUCUGAAAACAGUUUGAUGCCCUGACACAGGAAAGAAGAUGGAAAGAGAUGUGCCUGGAGAUGAACAUGCUUUGGUUGAAUGCAUGUUUAUGUAACUCUGGAUGACCACUCAUAGCACAGUAGGGGAAGGAGGCACAAGAGAGACACGAAAGAAUACAGAAGACUUAUCUCAUAUUGGAUGGAAGGAGCUGGGGAGAGAGGACAUCAAAUGAAGAAGACUCUGCCGCUUGCUCAUCACUGGAACAGCUAUGAGAGAAAGAUGGAAAUGGAGACGAACAGGGUGGGGGGACUUGUGGAUUGUGGAAACGCAACCUGCCAGGGCCAAGGAGAGAGGAAGAGAGAAGAUGAGUUUCAUUCACUGUGUUUAUGUUAGGUUUGAGUGGAUUGAACAAGGGUACAGCUUAAAGAAAUGCCCAGCAGGCUGCUAAUGACAGGGAUUUGAGCAUAGGUGAGGGGUUAGUGUUUGCAAUGCAGUUUUGGAUCUCUAACGUGGAGGCAAAGGUUCAAAAUGUAAGAGAAAAUAAACUACCUUGGAGAGCAGGAUGUAAAGACAGAAAGCUGAGGGCCCACAAUUGAGUUCUGAGGAACAUUCACUAUUCCAAAAAGCGUUGGGAACAUUGGAGAAACUUGCAGAUGAUAAGCUUCUCUAAUUGCCAGGUGAAUCCAUCUCUACUAAAGGCCAGGAGGAAUUACUUGACAUUUUAAAGGCAGACUAGGGAGAGAGUUGUUCAAUGUCAGA